rnacentral:rRNA from 1 species
AGGGUAGCCUGACCGACCAAGGGGGGACGGGCCUAACCGACCGGUUAGGUGGUCAAUGACUGGGGUG